AGUGAACGCUGGCGGUGGGCCUAACACAUGCAAGUCGAACGGCAGCACAGUAAGAGCUUGCUCUUACGGGUGGCGAGAGGCGGACGGGUGACGAAUACAUCGGAAUCUAGUUUUUCGUGGGGGAUAACGUAGGGAAACUUACGCUAAUACCGCAUACGACCUAGGGGUGAAAGCAGUGGAUCUUCGGACCUUGCGCGAUUGAAUGAGCCGAUGUCGGAUUAGCUAGUUGGGGGGGUAAAGGCCCACCAAGGCGACGAUACGUAGCCGGUCUGAGAGGAUGAUCGGCCACACUGGAACUGAGACACGGUCCAGACUCCUACGGGAGGCAGCAGUGGGGAAUAUUGGACAAUGGGCGCAAGCCUGAUCCAGCCAUGCCGCGUGGGUGAAGAAGGCCUUCGGGUUGUAAAGCCCUUUUGUUGGGAAAGAAAAGCAGCAGGUUAAUACCCCGCUGUUCUGACGGUACCCAAAGAAUAAGCACCGGCUAACUUCGUG
rnacentral:rRNA from 1 species